rnacentral:rRNA from 1 species
CAGCCGCCGGGUAAUACAGAGGGUGCGAGCGUUAAUCGGAUUUACUGGGCGUAAAGCGUGCGUAGGCGGCUUCUUAAGUCGGAUGUGAAAUCCCUGAGCUUAACUUAGGAAUUGCAUUCGAUACUGGGAAGCUAGAGUAUGGGAGAGGAUGGUAGAAUUCCAGGUGUAGCGGUGAAAUGCGUAGAGAUCUGGAGGAAUACCGAUGGCGAAGGCAGCCAUCUGGCCUAAUACUGACGCUGAGGUACGAAAGCAUGGGGAGCAAACAGGAUUAGAUACCCGGGUAGUCCCUGUCUCUUAUACA